CCUACGGGAGGCAGCAGUGAGGAAUAUUGGUCAAUGGACGAGAGUCUGAACCAGCCAAGUCGCGUGAAGGAUGACUGCCCUAUGGGUUGUAAACUUCUUUUAUAUGGGAGUAAAAUGUUCCACGUGUGGGAUUUUGUAUGUACCAUACGAAUAAGGAACGGCUAACUUCGUGCCAGACGCCGCGGUCAUACGGAGGAUACGAGCGUUUUCCGGAUUUAGUGGGCUUAAAGGGAGCGUAGGUGGAUUGUUAAGUCAGUUGGGAAAGUUUGCGGCUAAACCGGAGAAUUGCAGUUGAAACUGGCAGUCUUGAGUACAGUAGAGGUGGGCGGAAUUCGUGGUGUAGCGGUGAAAUGCUUAGAUAUCACGAAGAACUCCGAUUGCGAAGGCAGUUCACUGGACUGCAACUGACACUGAGGCUCGAAAGUGUGGGUAUCAAACAGGAUUAGAUACCCCUGUAGUC
rnacentral:rRNA from 1 species